CCCUUUGGGUGUGACUGCGUACCUUUUGUAUAAUGGGUCAGCGACUUAUAUUCUGUAGCAAGGUUAACCGAAUAGGGGAGCCGGAGGGAAACCGAGUCUUAACCGGGCGUUAAGUUGCAGGGUAUAGACCCGAAACCCGGUGAUCUAGCCAUGGGCAGGUUGAAGGUUGGGUAACACUAACUGGAGGACCGAACCGACUAAUGUUGAAAAAUUAGCGGAUGACCUGUGGCUGGGGGUGAAAGGCCAAUCAAACCGGGAGAUAGCUGGUUCUCCCCGAAAGCUAUUUAGGUAGCGCCUCGUGAAUUCAUCUCCGGGGGUAGAGCACUGUUUCGGCUAGGGGGCCAUCCCGGCUUACCAACCCGAUGCAAACUGCGAAUACCGGAGAAUGUUAUCACGGGAGACACACGGCGGGUGCUAACGUCCGUCGUGAAGAGGGAAACAACCCAGACCGCCAGCUAAGGUCCCAAAGUCAUGGUUAAGUGGGAAACGAUGUGGGAAGGCCCAGACAGCCAGGAUGUUGGCUUAGAAGCAGCCAUCAUUUAAAGAAAGCGUAAUAGCUCACUGGUCGAGUCGGCCUGCGCGGAAGAUGUAACGGGGCUAAACCAUGCACCGAAGCUGCGGCAGCGACACUGUGUGUUGUUGGGUAGGGGA
rnacentral:rRNA from 2 species